GGUUAAGCGACUAAGCGUACACGGUGGAUGCCCUGGCAGUCAGAGGCGAUGAAGGACGUGCUAAUCUGCGAUAAGCGUCGGUAAGGUGAUAUGAACCGUUAUAACCGGCGAUUUCCGAAUGGGGAAACCCAGUGUGAUUCGUCACACUAUCAUUAACUGAAUCCAUAGG
rnacentral:rRNA from 1 species